rnacentral:rRNA from 1 species
GCAGCAGUGAGGAAUAUUGGUCAAUGGCCGAGAGGCUGAACCAGCCAAGUCGCGUGAAGGAAGAAGGAUCUAUGGUUUGUAAACUUCUUUUAUAGGGGAAUAAAGUGGAGGACGUGUCCUUUUUUGUAUGUACCCUAUGAAUAAGCAUCGGCUAACUCCGUGCCAGCAGCCGCGGUAAUACGGAGGAUGCGAGCGUUAUCCGGAUUUAUUGGGUUUAAAGGGUGCGUAGGUGGUGAUUUAAGUCAGCGGUGAAAGUUUGUGGCUCAACCAUAAAAUUGCCGUUGAAACUGGGUUACUUGAGUGUGUUUGAGGUAGGCGGAAUGCGUGGUGUAGCGGUGAAAUGCAUAGAUAUCACGCAGAACUCCGAUUGCGAAGGCAGCUUACUAAACCAUAACUGACACUGAAGCACGAAAGCGUGGGGAUCAAACAGGAUUAGAUACCCUGGUAGUCCACGCAGUAAACGAUGAUUACUAGGAGUUUGCGAUACAAUGUAAGCUCUACAGCGAAAGCGUUAAGUAAUCCACCUGGGGAGUACGCCGGCAACGGUGAAACUCAAAGGAAUUGACGGGGGCGCGCACAAGCGGAGGAACAUGUGGUUUAAUUCGAUGAUACGCGAGGAACCUUACCCGGGUUUGAACGUAGUCUGACCGGAGUGGAAACACUCCUUCUAGCAAUAGCAGAUUACGAGGUGCUGCAUGGUUGUCGUCAGCUCGUGCCGUGAGGUGUCGGCUUAAGUGCCAUAACGAGCGCAACCCUUAUCACUAGUUACUAACAGGUGAAGCUGAGGACUCUGGUGAGACUGCCAGCGUAAGCUGUGAGGAAGGUGGGGAUGACGUCAAAUCAGCACGGCCCUUACAUCCGGGGCGACACACGUGUUACAAUGGCAUGGACAAAGGGCAGCUACCUGGCGACAGGAUGCUAAUCUCCAAACCAUGUCUCAGUUCGGAUCGGAGUCUGCAACUCGACUCCGUGAAGCUGGAUUCGCUAGUAAUCGCG